UUAAGCGACUAAGCGUACACGGUGGAUGCCCUGGCAGUCAGAGGCGAUGAAGGACGUGCUAAUCUGCGAUAAGCGUCGGUAAGGUGAUAUGAACCGUUAUAACCGGCGAUUUCCGAAUGGGGAAACCCAGUGUGUUUCGACACACUAUCAUUAACUGAAUCCAUAGGUUAAUGAGGCGAACCGGGGGAACUGAAACAUCUAAGUACCCCGAGGAAAAGAAAUCAACCGAGAUUCCCCCAGUAGCGGCGAGCGAACGGGGAGGAGCCCAGAGCCUGAAUCAGUGUGUGUGUUAGUGGAAGCGUCUGGAAAGGCGCGCGAUACAGGGUGACAGCCCCGUACACAAAAAUGCACAUGCUGUGAGCUCGAUGAGUAGGGCGGGACACGUGGUAUCCUGUCUGAAUAUGGGGGACCAUCCUCCAAGGCUAAAUACUCCUGACUGACCGAUAGUGAACCAGUACCGUGAGGGAAAGGCGAAAAGAACCCCGGCGAGGGGAGUGAAAAAGAACCUGAAACCGUGUACGUACAAGCAGUGGGAGCACGCUUAGGCGUGUGACUGCGUACCUUUUGUAUAAUGGGUCAGCGACUUAUAUUCUGUAGCAAGGUUAACCGAAUAGGGGAGCCGAAGGGAAACCGAGUCUUAACUGGGCGUUAAGUUGCAGGGUAUAGACCCGAAACCCGGUGAUCUAGCCAUGGGCAGGUUGAAGGUUGGGUAACACUAACUGGAGGACCGAACCGACUAAUGUUGAAAAAUUAGCGGAUGACUUGUGGCUGGGGGUGAAAGGCCAAUCAAACCGGGAGAUAGCUGGUUCUCCCCGAAAGCUAUUUAGGUAGCGCCUCGUGAAUUCAUCUCCGGGGGUAGAGCACUGUUUCGGCAAGGGGGUCAUCCCGACUUACCAACCCGAUGCAAACUGCGAAUACCGGAGAAUGUUAUCACGGGAGACACACGGCGGGUGCUAACGUCCGUCGUGAAGAGGGAAACAACCCAGACCGCCAGCUAAGGUCCCAAAGUCAUGGUUAAGUGGGAAACGAUGUGGGAAGGCCCAGACAGCCAGGAUGUUGGCUUAGAAGCAGCCAUCAUUUAAAGAAAGCGUAAUAGCUCACUGGUCGAGUCGGCCUGCGCGGAAGAUGUAACGGGGCUAAACCAUGCACCGAAGCUGCGGCAGCGACGCUUAUGCGUUGUUGGGUAGGGGAGCGUUCUGUAAGCCUGUGAAGGUGUGCUGUGAGGCAUGCUGGAGGUAUCAGAAGUGCGAAUGCUGACAUAAGUAACGAUAAAGCGGGUGAAAAGCCCGCUCGCCGGAAGACCAAGGGUUCCUGUCCAACGUUAAUCGGGGCAGGGUGAGUCGACCCCUAAGGCGAGGCCGAAAGGCGUAGUCGAUGGGAAACAGGUUAAUAUUCCUGUACUUGGUGUUACUGCGAAGGGGGGACGGAGAAGGCUAUGUUGGCCGGGCGACGGUUGUCCCGGUUUAAGCGUGUAGGCUGGUUUUCCAGGCAAAUCCGGAAAAUCAAGGCUGAGGCGUGAUGACGAGGCACUACGGUGCUGAAGCAACAAAUGCCCUGCUUCCAGGAAAAGCCUCUAAGCAUCAGGUAACAUCAAAUCGUACCCCAAACCGACACAGGUGGUCAGGUAGAGAAUACCAAGGCGCUUGAGAGAACUCGGGUGAAGGAACUAGGCAAAAUGGUGCCGUAACUUCGGGAGAAGGCACGCUGAUAUGUAGGUGAAGUCCCUCGCGGAUGGAGCUGAAAUCAGUCGAAGAUACCAGCUGGCUGCAACUGUUUAUUAAAAACACAGCACUGUGCAAACACGAAAGUGGACGUAUACGGUGUGACGCCUGCCCGGUGCCGGAAGGUUAAUUGAUGGGGUCAGCGCAAGCGAAGCUCUUGAUCGAAGCCCCGGUAAACGGCGGCCGUAACUAUAACGGUCCUAAGGUAGCGAAAUUCCUUGUCGGGUAAGUUCCGACCUGCACGAAUGGCGUAAUGAUGGCCAGGCUGUCUCCACCCGAGACUCAGUGAAAUUGAACUCGCUGUGAAGAUGCAGUGUACCCGCGGCAAGACGGAAAGACCCCGUGAACCUUUACUAUAGCUUGACACUGAACAUUGAGCCUUGAUGUGUAGGAUAGGUGGGAGGCUUUGAAGUGUGGACGCCAGUCUGCAUGGAGCCGACCUUGAAAUACCACCCUUUAAUGUUUGAUGUUCUAACGUUGACCCGUAAUCCGGGUUGCGGACAGUGUCUGGUGGGUAGUUUGACUGGGGCGGUCUCCUCCUAAAGAGUAACGGAGGAGCACGAAGGUUGGCUAAUCCUGGUCGGACAUCAGGAGGUUAGUGCAAUGGCAUAAGCCAGCUUGACUGCGAGCGUGACGGCGCGAGCAGGUGCGAAAGCAGGUCAUAGUGAUCCGGUGGUUCUGAAUGGAAGGGCCAUCGCUCAACGGAUAAAAGGUACUCCGGGGAUAACAGGCUGAUACCGCCCAAGAGUUCAUAUCGACGGCGGUGUUUGGCACCUCGAUGUCGGCUCAUCACAUCCUGGGGCUGAAGUAGGUCCCAAGGGUAUGGCUGUUCGCCAUUUAAAGUGGUACGCGAGCUGGGUUUAGAACGUCGUGAGACAGUUCGGUCCCUAUCUGCCGUGGGCGCUGGAGAACUGAGGGGGGCUGCUCCUAGUACGAGAGGACCGGAGUGGACGCAUCACUGGUGUUCGGGUUGUCAUGCCAAUGGCACUGCCCGGUAGCUAAAUGCGGAAGAGAUAAGUGCUGAAAGCAUCUAAGCACGAAACUUGCCCCGAGAUGAGUUCUCCCUGACUCCUUGAGAGUCCUGAAGGAACGUUGAAGACGACGACGUUGAUAGGCCGGGUGUGUAAGCGCAGCGAUGCGUUGAGCUAACCGGUACUAAUGAACCGUGAGGCUUAACCUU
rnacentral:rRNA from 1 species